GCCCCACCUAACCCCACUACCGAUCAUUCUCAACCACUCAUUUUCACACUAUCCAUUUUCUCUCUUGGCCGGCUCUUUCACUUCACUUCUUUUCUUUCUUUUUUUUUUCAUUCUCUCAUACGCUCCUCUCUACUCUCAUCUUCUCCACCGGCACUUCCACACCACCACCACCAUUUCCACCAUCAUUUUCCAGCAAGAUAACCGGAAAUUUUUGGGAACCCAUAAACACUUUCACAUCCUUUUUUUGAGGUUCUAGCUAAUCUCCUUGGAGCUUGGAGAAUUAGGAUUUUACGGUUGCAAGGUCAGUGUCCUUUCACUUUGGAUGAUGCGUUCUUCCCUGCUGUCCAUGAGGGGAAGAGGUUCCUUGGUUGUGUGUGGGUGAGGCUGCUACCCAUGGGGCCAAGAGACCACAUGCAAGAGAGGUCCUAUUUGACGCGCUCUCUCUGCUGCCCAUGGGGGGAGAGAAAAACCUUGAGGGUAUGGGUGAGGCUGCUGUCCAUGAGGCCAAGAGUCUGCAUACCAGAGAGGACAAUAUUAUGCUAGUUGUGAAUGGGUGGAUCCCCUGACUGGUUUAUCUGGUAGUAUGGUAGAUUUGUGAUAAUUUAUCUUAUGCUAGACAUUAUGGAUUUGGAAAUUAUAUUGUUAAUGCUCACAGAUUAUAAUGUAUAGUUUCAAGGUAUUUACUUUGAGAAAUUUUGUGUUUCAUUAUUAGAUCAUUCUUGUCAUAUUAUUAUUAUUGAAGAUGAAACUUGCAUUUCCCCCACCCCCAUUAAAUAUGCUACAUACUGGGCUCUGUCUCAUUCCAUUAUUUUAUAAACUUUUCAGAGUAGGCAACAGUCUUUUGAGACAGCUUUUUGGGUGGCUAAUAGUAGUUAGACUAACUACUGAUGGAGGCUGAACUUUUGUAAUGGAUAUAUUAGAUGGUGUACAUCUUAGACUAGGCUUGACUCAUUCUUUUGUGUAUUAUAGUGGUUAUGACUGUAUUCCUAAUGGGACAAGCUGUUGGUAUGUAAUUGUUUAUUCAGACCUCUAUUCUUUUGUGGCCAAUGGUCCUUGUAAUUAAUGCUUAAAGCUCUGACUUACUUUGUGAGUAUAUUCUAUGGGAUUAUUAUGAUAAUUCUUGAUGUU